rnacentral:misc_RNA from 1 species
GAUGAAGAACGUAGCGAAAUGCGAUAAGUAAUGUGAAUUGCAGAAUUCAGUGAAUCAUCGAGUCUUUGAACGCACAUUGCGCCCCCUGGUAUUCCGGGGGGCAUGCCUGUCCGAGCGUCAUUGCUGCCCUCAAGCACAGCUUGUGUGUUGGGCCGUCGUCCCCCUCCUAGGGGACGGGCCCGAAAGGCAGCGGCGGCACCGCGUCCGGUCCUCGAGCGUAUGGGGCUUCGUCACCCGCUCCGUAGGCCCGGCCGGCGCUUGCCGACGACCAUCAAUCUCUUUCUCCAGGUUGACCUCGGAUCAGGUAGGGAUACCCGCUGAACUUAAGCAUAUCAAUAAGCGGAGGA